UACGUAGGGUCCGAGCGUUGUCCGGAAUUAUUGGGCGUAAAGGGCUCGUAGGCGGUUUGUCGCGUCGGGAGUGAAAACACGGGGCUUAACCCCGUGCCUGCUUCCGAUACGGGGCAGACUAGAGGUAUGCAGGGGAGAACGGAAUUCCUGGUGUAGCGGUGAAAUGCGCAGAUAUCAGGAGGAACACCGAUGGCGAAGGCAGGUCUCUGGGCAUUAACUGACGCUGAGGAGCGAAAGCAUGGGGAGCGAACAGG
rnacentral:rRNA from 1 species